AGAGCGAACGCUGGCGGCAGGCCUAAUACAUGCAAGUCGAACGGACCCUUCGGGGUUAGUGGCGGACGGGUGAGUAACACGUGGGAACGUGCCCUUUGGUUCGGAACAACUCAGGGAAACUUGAGCUAAUACCGAAUGUGCCCUUCGGGGGAAAGAUUUAUCGCCAUUGGAGCGGCCCGCGUCUGAUUAGCUAGUUGGUGAGGUAAAGGCUCACCAAGGCGACGAUCAGUAGCUGGUCUGAGAGGAUGAUCAGCCACACUGGGACUGAGACACGGCCCAGACUCCUACGGGAGGCAGCAGUAGGGAAUCUUGCGCAAUGGGCGAAAGCCUGACGCAGCCAUGCCGCGUGAAUGAUGAAGGUCUUAGGAUUGUAAAAUUCUUUCAGCGGGACGAUAAUGACGGUACCGCAGAAGAACGCCCGGCUAACUCGUGCCAGCAGCCGC
rnacentral:rRNA from 1 species